rnacentral:misc_RNA from 1 species
UGGCUCUCGCAUCGAUGAAGAACGCAGCGAAUUGCGAUAUGUAAUGUGAAUUGCAGAAUUCAGUGAAUCAUCGAAUCUUUGAACGCAUAUUGCACCCUCUGGUCCAUUCCAGAGGGUAUGCCUGUUUGAGUGUCAUUAAUGUAUCAAACCACCAAGCUUGCUUGGUUGGUCUUGGAUGUUGAGGGUUGCUGGGGUUUUCAAUGAUCAGCUCCCUUUAAAUGCAUUAGCUUGGAAUGUAUAAGCCAUUUUAGCUUAGGCUGAUAUGAAUACUGUGUAUUAAAUGCUUUUGCUAAAGUGUAGCUUGUCUGGGCUUAUAACUGUCUAGCUGAGACUGUCUUUUGACAUUGUUAAGUCAUGACCUCAAAUCAGGUAGGACUACCCGCUGA